CAUCCGGAUGGUGUGGGCCUCCUGGAACUUCAGGCCCUGGGGGAUUCCAGCACUCUCAGCCCUCUUCCUGGGAUUAUUGCUCACCUCCUCUCCUGGAUGCUUUGCACAUUCCAGCUUGAGCAUGAAACACCCUCAAGGACCCUGCGGGGGUUGAGGGGCAUCCUAGGCUUUUCUGCUUCUUCUUGAAUGAGAAGAUGACAAAGCCAAGAAGAAACUCAGUCAUUUCUCCCUUCCCACUUCCAGGUGGAAAAACGGGGCCAAGAGAGGCUACAACCGGCCCCACAGCAUUCAGCGGACAGGGAGAGAGCAAGGACAGGGCCCUUCCUGACCUUCCUCUUCGGCUGCUCUCCCUUCCCUCUUCCUGAUGUUCAGAAGCUCCAGGAGCAGUGACCACACCCCCUGGCACUGCAACCAGGCUACGCCUGCGCCCGAAGUGACAUGGAGAGCACGGCUGGCUUCCUUGCUCAGCAUCCAGCUUCCUGGCCAGAGUCCUCCUUCCCCACCUGGAGUUGUCUCCUGGAGCUUGCUGAUAACCUGUAAGCCUCCUUGGGUAAUAACGGCACCCGCGGCACUAGUGAAACAGGAGAAGCCGGCGUCCCGCAGGAAACGCCAGCUCUGCCCACGCAGCGGGUGACAUCCCAAACACCACCGUGAAUCAAGACCCCGUCUUCAUCUCCGCCUCCGAAUCCUCUGGCUGCAGCCAGCCCACUGCAGACAGCACAGUGCACCCCCAAAUCCUGGCACUGCCUCCCAGGGUCCCCUCUCCCAGCAGUGCUCAGGAGAUUGCUGGCGUCUGCGUCCUGCUUGGCCAAUGCCUUCGCCAAUUUGUUCCUUCAGGUGGCAGGCGGGACGGCGGAAAAAGCUGGCCUCUUCCAGUUUCCACCAGUGGGGGCAACACCGAGGCCCAGGACGAUCGGCACCACCCACCACCGCCACCCGAGGCACAGGACUGCAGGGCACCCCUGCCGCACCCAAGGCGCUGCUGCCUCCUGCAGAGCUGGAGAGAGGAGCCACAGGGAAGGAAGGUGUUUUUUCUCUGUCCCGAGGCCACUGCCCUGAUCCGGCGCUCACCGCCUUGCCCCGGGCCUGCGCCGGCCUCCUGACGGGCUCCUUGCUGUGAGCCAAGGUCGCCGGGCCUCCAAGUCCCAGCUCUCCUGGCCUCCCGUGGUUCCUUGUUUCCUGUGAACACAGCUCACUGCUGACCCCCGGGGCUCCCAUGACUGCCCAGUCCACGAGGCCUCUGUCUGCAUCGCCACUUCUCACACCCUCAGCUUGGACACUGGGACCGGCCAGCCUGCUCUACCCUCUCUGUACCCAAGGUACGGAUGCCCCCAGGUGCCUCCUCCUUGUGAAGCCCAAGUUCCUACACCACACUGCCCUCCGUCCCCUCAUCUUCCAGCCAAAGGGAGCCCGCAGCAGUCCUGGCUUCGCCUCUUCUCUCCCAUACCUGGGCUGGAUCCGCAACCCCCUCCUCCCCAGGCUCCCUGAGAAGGAACCCAUCCGCCAGGGGCCAGGGCACCCAGCUAAACUGAUGGCUGGUCCGUCACAUCUGCCCUUGGUGUGGUGGUGACUGGGAUGAACAGCUUGGACUUGUCACUGGGCUGGAGCUGGGCAUUGCCUUUGGAGGAGGCAAGGGCAGCUGCCAAUUGGGAGCCCGGACCCCUGCCAUCCAUCCCACCUCUGCCAGCUCCCCUCCUCUCUCCCACUGUCUUGAGGCUGAGCAGAUGCUGCUGCAAGGGCUUCUGGGUAUUUCUGCAAGUGCGGGUUCUCGAGCCUUCACUUGAAGCUCAUUUCUGCUCUGCACUCUCUGGGAGCAGGGGCACCCCAGGAUGAUCCACUCCAACUUCUCACCCACAAAUCUCCACUCCCAUCCUGGCCCCGCGGAACUCCGCACCACACCACUGCAGAUAGCGCUCUUUCCCACCAACCUCUGCUGGGGUCCCAGGGAUCUCACAGCAGAGAUCUGAGUUGCCAUCAUCAACUGAUCAUCACUGGUGCAGGAGAUAAAACACGGUCCUCAUCUCUGUGCACGCUUGUGCACAAGCUCGUGUGCACGCACACACACACACACACACAUGCACAGACUUGGCUGGGAGACCCACAGCUCUCUCCCCCUGUUUGUUUUUAAAUCUCACCGUGGCUGCCUUGAAGCUGAGAAAACAGACGCUGGGCUGAGGGCCUUGGCACUGGCCCAGGGUAUCUGGGACACCCAUGUUUGCAAAGAAAGCAUUUGUGAAGUGUGAAGAAAUCUGAACAGUGCCGUUCAAAAACUGUGUUUAAA